CCAGCCCCCCAACCCUCAGUCCUAGCAACUUGUGGGCCGAGCUGCCUCUGGCGGAGCCGUCAAAAGAAGGGAGAUGAAAAGGAGUCUCUACACUCUAGAUGUUUCCGUGUGUUUUGAGUCAUGGGUAGUAGCAAUAAGGAAGAACAUUUAAUCCGGCUGUUGUCUCGGAAUGGGACAGGCUCUCCAAACCGCGCUUCCGUGUGCAGACUGCGCAAGCGCAGACUCGAGCUCCGACUGCCAUCUUCUAUUGUAGCAGCAUGAGUGUACGAAAGACACUUUCUCUCCAAAGAAUACCGAUUGUAGGAGCACAUCACGAUCAGCAGUUGACAACAGUCUUCCCAUUGAAGCGCCUAUGGAAACAAGCACAAGAGUCUCUCUGUGUAACCUUGGCCGUUCUCGAACUCUGUCGGUAGACCAGGCAAGCCUCAGACUCAAAAAGACCCACCUAUCUCUGCCUCCCAAGUGCUGGAAUUAAAGACAUGGACCACCACUACUAAACUAAAUUCCAUCUUUUUAGGUUACAUAGACCACGUGAGUGAUUUUCAAACAUAAUAUGACUUGUUUAGAAAACCUGUGAUAUUCAACUUUUAGGCAAGAAUAAUUUUUAAGUUUCAAAACAAGUUACAUAUCAUAAAUGAACUAGUUCUGUAACAAUGUUUACAAAUACAGUUAUUUCUACAUUGAA